AAGAACAGUUUCAGGUUAAGUACAGACCUCCGGAACGAAUUAAGUACUUAACCUGAGAUACCACUGUAUUUAAUAAUUAAAGAUAUUCUGAUCUCCAGCCUCAGUUUAAUAACAGAUCGUUUAUAUCUCUUGGCUACAUUCACUUUCUUCCUAGGUGAACUCCUAAUGAUGCAUGGACAAGAGUCUUCACAUUUCUGUGUCAUACCAGUUGGUAUCCUAUCCUCAAGUAAUUUCAAAGCCUUUUACCAGAUGUCAGAUUUCCUUUCCAAAACCAAAUAUUACUAACGUGGCUGGAAUUUACACGGUCACAAUGAUCAUCAUGAUCAAGAUACAUUAUAGUCUCUCAUUACCUUGUAAUAAGAGUGGCCAGGCAUAGCCAUAAAGUUUCAUGAAGUUCUGAAGGUUCUGAAGACUUUGGAUGUUUUAUUAGGUGAAACAGUUAUUCUCCAUUAAAAAUAGCAUCGAGUUUCAUUAGUAAGUCUAAUUUUUCCACUGUUAAAAAUGUUCCGUCUCAUCAGGGAGUGGCAGAUAAAGUCUGCAAAGUUUUAUGGCCUACUUGUCCCAAAAAAAGAAGCCACCUCAGCCAGCUGAGGCUGCAGCUCUGACCAUUCUUUCUUGGGAGCAAGUGCCAUUGAAGUCAUGACACCUCAGAAUAAACAUGCUGAGGAUUUGGCUGCAAAUAACUUUACUCUGUGACAUCGAAUAUGACUAUGCAAUAAAACCCGCAGGUUGGUGGGAUAUUGAACCAUGGUGAUGUUAUAGCACUUAGCACUUCUGGACUUCCACAGAUGUCAGAGGGAAAGCUAUUUUUAUUUUUUAAAUGCUGGAAAUUGAGUUUGCCACAAAGAACAAUUUAACACGAUUCCCAAACUUUGGAAACAGAAUGUGGUCUUGGAGCUGAUUGGGAGGUGGGAAUUGUUUUUCUGGGUGGAGGGACUGGCAAUUUUACAUUCUUGGUGCAGGAUCAAUCCUUUGUAGUAGGAUCGUUUCUGUCUGAAAUACAGGAAUAUGCUUUUUUCCUACCCAGAUAUAGCCAUUUAAUAGGCUUUAAUUCCAGGAUUUGACGGUGGAAAGGUAAAUGUUCUUUUCUUUCCUAUUUUUCAGGCCUUGCCCAUCUGAAGCAUUUUACUGCUAUCAGUGGUCGAAGUGGAUAAAAGGAGAGGUCCAGUCACUUCUACAAUUACUCAGGCAUGUACCCAGAGGAGUUCAGCAAGAUCUGGUUUUUGCUACUAAAAGCUCAACAUUUCAAAAACCUGAGAUGCUCUGGAACUGUUGAUAUAGGUGAAAUCCAAUGCAGUGCAAGCAGACAUGUGCAGCGGUCCUUUCCCUUCCUCUCCGCCCACUUCCUGCAGCUCCCAAAUCUUCUCCAGAGGAUUGGGGGACACUUGGUAGCAGAUUUGGGGGAGGAAGAGUACAGUACAAGGGCUACAGAGGAAGAAGAGAAGCUGGAGGUCCUGUUGCACAAGUGGAUUUCCAUUGUGGAAGGAGGUGAACAGCACUGGAUGUUGCCACUUUAGGACAACUGCACAGAAAUUAUGAUAGACUUUACCAGCAUUGCCCAUCCAAAGUUAAGUACUUGUGGCCUUGUUGAUUUCUAUGGGGGAGAGUUAAGUGGGAGUUUUAAAAUGAUUAACUCUGUCUGAAUUGUGCCCUGUGUGCUUGAUUAAAUGCAGUUUUGACAGACAUGUUUAAAACAUUUUUGGCACAAUAUCUGGCCACACACAUGCACUACAGCAUGUCUGCCAUUACCAGCAAACAGGAAAUCAGUAUUGUUCUUACUUAUGUAUCCGUCUCCCCAAGGCGCCAGUUCUUGAUAUUCCUUCUCCAUUUGGGGAAUUUUGGCUGAGAAGCAGAAUAAAAAUCCAGUAAACAAAUAAAUCAAAUAUAACAAAAUAUCAAACUUCCCAAUUCAGAUGAAAAUUGAAGGGGGAUUACAAGAAAAUAUUUCUCCAAGGGACAAGUGGGAGAAAUAAUUUACCAGCUCUUCCCUACCCACCCUCCUCAAAUAUUGUCUGAAAAAAAGGAACAUCUCUUCUGAUUUACCUAAUGUGAUAUAUCUGAAAUCCUGAGGUAUUAAUUAGAGUUUAAAGAAUCUUCCCCCACCCAUAUGCUACAAUUGCUUGGUCCAAAGUGAUCCAUAGAGUUCCAGUGGUAAUAAUUAUAUUGUUCUGAAUGCUGACCAGCCAGGCUGGUGACAUCUUUUGGUAGGAAAAUAGCAGGUUACUCCCUCAGGGUGGUUGUUAGAUAUUUGUCUUUCGCAGGGAUGGGCAACCAGUGUCACUCCUGAAGUUCGUGGAUUCCAGCUCCCAUCAGGCUCAGUCAGCAUGGUCGAUUCCCAGGGAUAAUGAGAGUUGUAGUCCAACAACAUCUGGAGGGCCAGAGAAUCCCCAUACCUGGUUUAGGGAACUAAUUGGUAGAGGAUAGUUUCUCGAUCAUCUCUGAAAAGUAAGGGCCAUUUUAGGGAAGGAAAUUCACCACCCCCACCCACCCCCCAGUUAGGGUGCUCUUAGCAUUUGGUGUGGGAAGGGCUGCCAUUUUGGAGAACAGAGUCAUUCUGAGGCAGCGAAAGAAGUGGCGCAAGAGAGAUAAGUUGUGAGCUGAAGGCACCUCGGAGUGUAGGUAUUGCUUUCUGGGGGGUCUCAUGUGGAUCUUGUAACUGGUAGGAGUACUUGUGCUGUUUGCUUCCACCUAUGCUCCUAUUUUUGCAAAAAAAG